UUCGGAGUAUAUUGUACGCAACCUACAGGGUUUGCAGCGGCCAUUUCCCUGCUGAAAGUUUCAUGGACCCUGGGGACACAAGGCUUACAAAAAUGGCUGUGCCCAGUGUGCACCCAGUUUCACCAUGUUCUUUGAGAGUCGCUUCUACUAGUGACUGCCACAUGACUGCAGAAGCUGCACUGCAAGUUUCGUCAGUAUCUGUGGAAGAGGCUUCGAACAGCGAC
rnacentral:lncRNA from 1 species